UGGGGAAUAUUGCACAAUGGGCGCAAGCCUGAUGCAGCCAUGCCGCGUGUGUGAAGAAGGCCUUCGGGUUGUAAAGCACUUUCAGCGAGGAGGAAGGUGGUGAGCCUAAUACGCUCAUCAAUUGACGUUACUCGCAGAAGGAGCACCGGCUAACUCCGUGCCAGCAGCCGCGGUAAUACGGAGGGUGCAAGCGUUAAUCGGAAUUACUGGGCGUAAAGCGCACGCAGGCGGUUUGUUAAGUCAGAUGUGAAAUCCCCGGGCUCAACCUGGGAACUGCAUUUGAAACUGGCAAGCUAGAGUCUCGUAGAGGGGGGUAGAAUUCCAGGUGUAGCGGUGAAAUGCGUAGAGAUCUGGAGGAAUACCGGUGGCGAAGGCGGCCCCCUGGACGAAGACUGACGCUCAGGUGCGAAAGCGUGGGGCAGCAAACAGGAUUAGAUACCCUGGUAGUCCACGCUGUAAACGAUGUCGAUUUUGGAGGUUGUGCCCUUGAGGCGUGGCUUCCGGAGCUAACGCGUUAAAUCGACCGCCUGGGGAGUACGGCCGCAAGG
rnacentral:rRNA from 1 species